rnacentral:lncRNA from 1 species
AUGGGGAAGAAAUCCGAGAUAUUCGGAAGCCCUAUAUACCUCGUGUAAGAGUUCACAUGCUCCCUCAACACCUUGCUCGCCGCCGCGCCGCCGCCGUAAUCCGCCGAGAAAAGCGUCGCGAACAUGAUGUUGGACAUGGUGGUGAAGGUGGCUUCUCCGACGUUCAUGGCGCCGCGGCACUCGCCGACGCGGUCGAUCAGCCUCCGCAGCCGCUCGUGCCGGAGGGCCUGGCUGGCCUGAAGGGCUUGGAAAGAGAAGAGCUUCUCCCUCGCCACCCGCCGGAGCUUCUUCCACGCGGCGGAGCUGGAGGGCAGCAUGCCGACGGAGUUCUCGUCCUGGCCGAGGACGCGCUUCGCGACCGGGUUGAACGGGUUGGCGAAGACGAGGCCCUGCUUCUGCAGCACCUCCGUCGCCAUCUCCGGGGAGGAGACGACGACGGCGAAUUGGUUCCCGAGAUGGAGGGACAUCAGGGGGCCGUAGGUUUUGGCGAGGUGGGCGAACGACUUGUGGGGGUUUGGACCGAGCUGGAGGAUGUUGCCGAUGAUCGGAAGACGAGGCGGCCCCGGAGGGAGUCUCCGCCGCCUCGGCUCCGACCACCAUGAGUAGGCGGCCCAUGCUGCCGCAAAAGCCAGGGAGAGAAGAAUGAGAAUUUGCAUUUUUGGUUUGGUUAUUUUGUUUUGUUUCUACAUUUUCUUGCAUGACUCUCUCGCUAUUUAAAUCAUGAGUAUAGGGAGGGCGGAUCUAGGGACUAGGGGGCUGCAAAAUUGAGUCUUUUUCUUUUAAUAUAUAUAUAUAUAUAUUUAGUAUAAGAAAGAAUAUAAUCCGUCUGUCUUGAUUAUCUUGAGACAAAAAUUUUGGGCACAAAAUUUAAGAAAUUAAUAGUAUUUAAUAAAAUUUAAUAUCACAAAAUCUCUUGUAUAUUCGGGUGUACGGUACAUUCGGGUCGUACCCGACCCGAAUUCUGACCCGGAUCUAACCCAAUUGGAUUAUCCUACCCGAAUGUCAAGUGUUAGUAUCAUUUCGAUAUAGUGUUAGUGUAAUUUUCGAAAUAGUGUCAUUUGUAAGACAAAAUAGUAUUAGUGUUAUUUUUGAAAUAAAAUAGUGUUAGUGUCAUUCUAAGAUCGCGUUAGUAUUAAUGUCAUUUUAAGAAAAAAAUGGUCAGGAUAGUCCAAUUGGAUCAGGAUCCGGGUCAGGUACAAUUCGGGUGUACGGUACACUCAGGUGUACAGGAAACCAUCUCAUUUAAUAUAUACAUUUAGAUUAUUUUUAGUGUAAGAAUUAAAGAGUUUGAUGUUAAUGAAAUCGAGAUGACGGAUGAAAAAAUAUAGGAAUUUUUUAUACAAAUUUUGAAAAGCCCGAAAGAUGCAAGUGGCUACGAACUAAUGUUGGGCUAUAAUUCUAAUCAAAUUUAUUUCUUUGACCCAUCUAUUAAAAGUGACGUUUAGUUUGUUGUUAGAAAUACUACAAUUCUUGGGCUAUAAUUCUAAUCAAAUUUAUUUCUUUGGCGCAUCCAUUUCUUGGGCUAUAAUUCUAAUCAAAUUUAUUUCUUUGUUAGAAUUAAUACUAUUGACUUUUUUCUUUGGUAAUUAACAAGUUUUGGACGCCACUACGGAUCGUGGCGGCUGUAGUGGCGGCUGUAGAGCAGAAGAAUUGAUAGUUAGUUUUAUUUUUUAUGUACAAGUCGAAGAAUAAUUUAGAUUCAUUUUAAUAAAUAGUCGUAUAUGAUUACUUAUUGUUACUAUGUUUAAAUUUAUUACUAUGAAUAAUUAAUUUAUUUGAUUCGGUAAAAUAAUGAAACAUUAGUCCAAAAUCUAUAAUAUUUAAUUGUUUGUUAAUUAAUUUAAUUGGAUUUUGAUUUUUUUCUAAGUAGAGAGUUUUAAUCUAAUUUUCUUGAGCCUGAUCACCUUAGGUCAAUUAAUUUUUCCAAUCUGUAAUUAUUAGAAUCGAGCUAAUUAGUGACAAAGCUAUUGUAUCGAUAGUAGGCAACAACCAAAAUAUGUGAAAUAUUAUCGAGUCCGGCAACUCACUGAGUCGAUCCAUGAAAACCUUUGAAACAUAAUGAAGCAUCAAUGAAUGAAUUGCGCAUCAACAACUCAGAAUUUACCUUACACUUAAUUAUUGGAAGCAAAAUAACACAUACUCCCUCCGUCCCCAAAAUAAGUUCCUCUUUGGGGACGGCACGGGUUUUAAGGAAAAUGGUAAAGUGUAUUGAUAGUGGGAAAAAAUGUGUUAUAAUUAGUAUUGGGAGUGAUGAAAAUGUGAAAAAGUAUUAUAAUUAGUAUUGGGAGUGGUGAAAAAGUGAAAAGUAAGAAUAAAUAAAGUAUUAUUAGUGAUGGGGUAGUUGUCCAAAAAUAGAAAGAAAAAAAGAGGAACUUAUUUGGUGGACGUCCUAAAAUGAAAAAGGAUGAACUUAUUUCAGGGACGGAGAGAGUAUAUACUAUCAAAUUCUUGAAGAUUGAUUACCUGAAGAUGAACUUAGUUAUUAAACUUUAACAGAUCGAAUUGGCCUGCAGCAAAACUGAUUGGAUUCUUAACAUAUAUGCUGUGGAAGAUCCAAAGUUACAACGCAUGUUUUUAACUUCUCAAUGAACAUUUAACCUCAGAAAUUAAAGUUGAUUUUUUGAAAGGAUAAAAAGCAUGUUUUUAACUUCUCGAGUAACAUUUAUGAUGAAAUUUCAAGAGUUUUCAACGAAAAACGUAAACGGUCGAGGAUCAAAACCGUUCAUUUCAUAUUCUGCAUAUUGUUAUUUUAUUUUACUUAAUAUAUAGAGUAUUCAUUUGGAAUAAAAUUAAGGUUUUUAUCCUCUGACCGUUGAUGUUCUUCGUUGAAAAUCUCUUGAGAUUUAUUGUAAUUAAUAAAUGUUUCUUGAGAAGUUAAAACAUGCAUGCUUUUUAUCCUUUCAAAAAAUCAACUUAAUUCCUGAGUAUUGAAGUGUCCCACAUUGGAUUGGAGAUAGUGGCAUGAGCCACUUUAUAUGGUGAGGCAACCCUCUCCCUUAUAAGGCCUUUUAAAGGAGGAAUGGGCCCAAUAUCCAUUUCUAACACUGAGGUCGUUGUAACGUUGUAUCUUCCAAAGCAUAUAUAGUUAGAAUCUGAACCAGUUUACAAAGAAUCUAAUCAGUUUAAGCUUGCAGUACCCAAUUCGAUUUGUUAAAAAAUGGAGAUCGAUCGAGUCCCGCUUUUCUCAGCUUUCAUAUCUCCGAAGAUCAUCAUGAGGUUAGUCAUGAUCAGUCAGAGCGCGAUCGACUGAGUGAGUUACCCGAUUCCUUAAUCCUUUCGAUUCUUUCAUUCUUGUCGAUGGUCGAUGUUGUCCGAACAACCAUUCUCUCCAAACGUUGGAAAGAUCUCUGGGCCACCAUGCAUCCCUUGCCUUCAUUAUCCAUGGUCUUUUUCGUUGUGGUUAUUCGUUGGUUGUCCCUUCUUUGACUAAUGCAAUUCUCUCUUUGCGAAAUAUUGAUUUGUAUUCGUUGCUAAUUAAAACGUUUAAUCAAGUUUUUCGAAGCAUAAGGCAUGCUGAGAAGUUCACUUUAUCAGAAUGGUGCAUUGAGGUUAGAUUUGUUUGCCACAUUUUGGUUUAAUCAUUUCUACUUGUAUCAUUUAUCACUUAUUUUGACUUUGACAUAAUCUCAUUUUUGUAUUGCGUUGAUGAGCUAAUGUCAUAUGUUUUAGACUCCUAUUUGUUUUAUACAUGUGCAAGGUUUAAUUUAGUGUUAUUAUCGUGAAUUAUAUUUGUAAUGUUUUAAAUUGAUUAUAUGAUUAGAUUACUACUAUAUAUACUGCUCUCCGACUUCUAUCAUACAGUUAAGGGGCGUUUAUUGUGAAGGAUUAGCAUUGAUAUAUAAAUAUUGUAAAGUUAAUGUCUUGUUUACUUUACUGUAUUGAAACUUUGGGAUAUUUUUAGGAUCUUGAUUAUUUCUAUUAUUUAAACUAGAAUGUGUUUGGAACAGUAAAAACGCGAUCACUGAACAUAAACGUUUUACAUUUGGAGCAAAUUCCUACUGCAAUUUGUGUUUUGGAGCAAAUCCCUUAGUUUCUGGAAACAUUUUAAUACUGAAAUUUUGUUUUUUUUUUUGUUAGUCGAAAUUUUAUUCUCAAGAUUUAAUGCUUCAUUAGUUCAUUUGAGCAAUAUCUCUGAGAGGCAUUUUCACAAACACCUUGCUGCAGUUCAUUUUAAUGACAACUCUGUGCUAAUAUCUCUGAGAGGCAUUUUCACAAACACCUUCUGCGCAUACAUUUCUUAUUUAUUGAUCUUUUACUACAACGCAUUGGUUUUCAUAGAAUAACACAAACGCGUUUCACAUUAUAGCUCUCUUAUUACUACUCGAAAUCAAUCACACAAACCACCAUCAAAUCUUGCUGGGAAUCGCCCAAAGAGGGGUUUUCUUCUGCAGCGACAACCCAUACACAUGCUCUCUUUGCAACCGUUUGCAUUCAUUCCCUCUCUCAAGCUCCCAAUCGAAGUUGUGACACAGCGCCGCCACCAUACAAUGCAGCAUGCGGCUAGCCAGCGGCAUCCCGGGGCAGAUUCUCCGCCCCGAACUGAACGGAAUCAGUUCAAAAUGCUGCCCUGAAAAAUUAAUGUUCUUAUCCAAAAAUCGCUCGGGCUCAAAGCGCUCGGGAUCCUUCCAUAUGGUCGGAUCUCUGGUGAUCGCCCAGACGUUGACGAACAUUUUUGUGUUUUUGGGGAUUAGGUAUCCGUUGAGCUGCGUCUCCUCCUCGGCGGCGUGAGGAGCGAGCAGAGGCGCGGCGGGGUGGUAGCGCAGCACUUCUUUGAUGGUGGCUUGCAGGUAUGGGAGCCUCGAGAUGUCGGAUUCUUCCACCAUUGUUUGAUCUCCGAUGACGCUCUUCAGCUCUGCUUUCAGCUUCGCGAGUUUGUCGGGGUGGAGGAGGAGCUCCACCAUUGCCCAUUCCGUUGUGGCUGCGCUUGUGUCUGAUCCUGCAAUGAGUAGGUCCUAAACAAGGUGAAGUAGAUUGAGUUAGAAACUCAUUCAUUUUUAACGAGUUAAUACAUAAAAAUAGCUACUAUUGAAUUAAAAUCAAUUUGUUAAUAAUUAGGAUUUUGAUAAAAUCACGAACUAUUUUGAAAUUGUAAUUUUUUAAUGUAAUUUUUUGAGUGGUGAAUGAGUUCAUCAUAUUUUCAAUUUUUGCAAAUUCCGUGCUGAAGUGGAGCUUACGUGAAUUAGUAAAAAUGAUGCCUUUCUGGUAAUUUGAUUCCUUUCUUGCUCGCAGCCGUUGCUCGAUCAUGCCGCUCACGAUCUCCAGCAAUCCCCCGAGGUGAUGAAUCACCUUCUUCUUGAUUCCUUGUGGAUCAAAACGAGCAAAAAUGGGGAAGAAAUCCGAGAUAUUCGGAAGCCCUAUAUACCUCGUGUAAGAGUUCACGUGCUCCCUCAACACCUUGCUCGCCGCCGCGCCGCCGCCGUAAUCCGCCGAGAAAAGCGUCGCGAACGUGAUGUUGGCCAUGGUGGCGAAGGUGACUUCUCCCACGUUCAUGGCGCCGCGGCACUCGCCGACGCGGUCGAUCAGCCUCCGCAGCCGCUCGUGCCGGAGGCCCUGGCUGGCCUGAAGGGCUUGGUGGGAGAAGAGCUUCUCCCUCGCCACCCGCCGGAGCUUCUUCC